rnacentral:rRNA from 1 species
GUUUAACGGCCGCAGUACCCUAACCGCGCGAAGGUAGCAUAAUCACUUGUUCUUUAAAUGAGGACUAGAAUCAACGGCACCACGAGAGUUAUACUGUCUCCUUUCUCUAAUCAGUGAAACUAAUCUCCCCGUGAAGAAGCGGGGGUAAAACUAUAAGACGAGAAGACCCCAUGGAGCUUUAAACCUAGCCACACCCCGAACCUUUAUACCCAACUAUUA